AACGAACGCUGGCGGCAGGCUUAACACAUGCAAGUCGAACGCCCCGCAAGGGGAGUGGCAGACGGGUGAGUAACGCGUGGGAACAUACCCUUUCCUGCGGAAUAGCUCCGGGAAACUGGAAUUAAUACCGCAUACGCCCUACGGGGGAAAGAUUUAUCGGGGAAGGAUUGGCCCGCGUUGGAUUAGCUAGUUGGUGGGGUAAAGGCCUACCAAGGCGACGAUCCAUAGCUGGUCUGAGAGGAUGAUCAGCCACAUUGGGACUGAGACACGGCCCAAACUCCUACGGGAGGCAGCAGUGGGGAAUAUUGGACAAUGGGCGCAAGCCUGAUCCAGCCAUGCCGCGUGAGUGAUGAAGGCCUUAGGGUUGUAAAGCUCUUUCACCGGUGAAGAUAAUGAAGGUAGUCGGAGAAGAAGCCCCGGCUAACUUCGUGCCAGCAGCCGCGGUAACAC
rnacentral:rRNA from 1 species